CAGGAUGUACUCAGGUAUUUCAGUCAGUACACACACUGGUACUGGAUUGGCCUGAGAGCUGAAGGAGGGAGAUGGAAGUGGAUCGAUGGAAGUGACCUGACUGAAAGUGUCAGCUACUGGUUACAUGAACAACCAAAUGCUACUGAUGGUCAGUGUGUAGUUUAUGACACACCCAGAUGGAGAUCAGUGAGCUGUGCUGACAGACGGCCUUGGCUCUGCAAAAAGAAGAAUGUAUCUGUUUAAACACUGCAGUCAGACUUGAGAAGUUUACUGGAUACUUUCCAUGAUAAUAUCAACUGGCUUCAUAAAUAUCAAACUGGGAAGACUUCUACUUCACAAUU